rnacentral:rRNA from 1 species
GGGUCCGGACACACUGAGGAUUGACAGGCGUUUGUGGUUUAGCAUCUGGCUUCGGUUAGCUCUGCUUUUCUACUAUAAAUAUGCUAGUCCUUUCAUGAUUGUGUGAUAGGUGGUGCAUGGCCGUUCUUAGUUCGUGGAGUGAUCUGUCUGCUUAAUUGCGUUUCACAAAGAACUCUUUAACUUUUACCUGUUGCGCGUCACUGCGCUCUCUGAGACGGUGUCUGUGCACGGUAAAGAAAAAGUUCUGAAGGCAACGAACGUGACCGCAACCUCUUGUUGCCUCCUUUUUUCAAACAUGAGAGUACUGUCUUGCCUUGUGUGAGCUGUGCUUCUCUGCAUGGAGUGCUAACUAGAGGGACCGCUGACAACUUUUAAAACAGAGGAAGGUUGCGGCAAUAACAGGUCUGUGAUGCCCUUAGAUGUUCCGGGCUGCACACGUGCUACAAUGAUUAUUGCAGUGAGCAUCUAACUAAAAAAAGCUCGAGUUUGUGUUUAGUUGCACUUGCGUAACUUUACAUAGCUCGGCUACUGACCUGCUUCGAAAGUAAGCAGGU